GGGCCUAUAGCUCAGUUGGUUAGAGCACCUGACUCAUAAUCAGGUGGUCGCUGGUUCGAGCCCAGCUGGGCCCACCA
rnacentral:tRNA from 1 species